rnacentral:rRNA from 1 species
GAUGAACGCUGGCGGCGUGCCUAAUACAUGCAAGUCGAGCGAACAGACGAGGAGCUUGCUCCUCUGACGUUAGCGGCGGACGGGUGAGUAACACGUGGAUAACCUACCUAUAAGACUGGGAUAACUUCGGGAAACCGGAGCUAAUACCGGAUAAUAUAUUGAACCGCAUGGUUCAAUAGUGAAAGACGGUUUUGCUGUCACUUAUAGAUGGAUCCGCGCCGCAUUAGCUAGUUGGUAAGGUAACGGCUUACCAAGGCAACGAUGCGUAGCCGACCUGAGAGGGGGGAUGGGCACCAUGGAACUGGAGCAACGGCCCAGCCCCUAAGGGGAGGAAGCGGUGGGGAAUCUUCGGCAAGGGGCGAAAGCCUGACGGAGAAACGCGGCGGGAGUGAGGAAGGUCUUCGGAUCGUAAAACUCUGUUAUUAGGGAAGAACAAAUGGGUAGGUAACAAUGCACGUCUGGACGGUACCAAUCAGAAAGCCACGGCUAACUACGUG